rnacentral:rRNA from 1 species
CUACGGGUGGCUGCAGUGAGGAAUAUUGGGCAAUGGGCGCAAGCCUGACCCAGCCAUGCCGCGUGAAGGAUGAAUGCCCUACGGGUUGUAAACUUCUUUUGUACGGGACGAAACUUCCGAUCGCGAUCGGAACUGACUGUACCGUUCGAAUAAGCAUCGGCUAACUCCGGGCCAGCAGCCGCGGUAAUACGGGGGAUGCAAGCGUUAUCCGGAUUCAUUGGGUUUAAAGGGUGCGUAGGCGGAAUAGUAAGUCAGUGGUGAAAGCCUGCGGCUUAACCGUAGAAUUGCCAUUGAUACUGUUAUUCUUGAGUAUAGUUGAGGUGGGCGGAAUGUGUAAUGUAGCGGUGAAAUGCUUAGAUAUUACACAGAACACCAAUUGCGAAGGCAGCUCACUAAACUAUCACUGACGCUGAGGCACGAAAGCGUGGGGAGCGAACAGGAUUAGAUACCCGCGUAGUC